rnacentral:tRNA from 1 species
AGGGGUGUCGGUUAAUGGCUAAACCAGCGGUCUCCAAAAUCGCGACUGGGGGUUCGAAUCCCUCCACCCCUGCCA